ACAGAGGUGGCAAGCGUUGUUCGGAAUUACUGGGCGUAAAGGGCGCGUAGGCGGCCUUCUAAGUCAGACGUGAAAUCCCCAGGCUUAACUUGGGAACUGCGUCUGAUACUGGGAGGCUUGAGUGCGGGAGAGGGAUGUGGAAUUCCAGGUGUAGCGGUGAAAUGCGUAGAUAUCUGGAGGAACACCGGUGGCGAAGGCGGCAUCCUGGACCAACACUGACACUGAGGAGCGAAAGCCAGGGGAGCAAACGGG
rnacentral:rRNA from 1 species